AAACAUUGAACUCUCUCUCUCUCCAUUUCUGAGAAACAGGGGGGUCUCGCUGAAUUGGGGAAGAAAUUGAAGACCCGAUUUUAACCCCCUAUCCGACCCGUUUCUCUGCAAAAUCACCCGGUCUCCGUUACAUGAUGCCCUAGUUCUUGGGGGCAUCAUCAUCUGUACAGUUCCUUUUUUUGAUUUCAACAUUUUGGGACCAUACCAUUUUGGGGCCCAUUUCGUUGAUUCCUCAUUAUCAGAAACAAUAGCUGAAAAACCCCGUACUAGUACAAGUCUUUGCAAUUUUCCGGACCCUAAUUCGUUAUAUGCCCGAUUGUUAAAGCUCCGAUUUUUUUGGUAAAAGAGUUGAUUGGAAUGAAACAGGUCAAAUGAAGCAAAGUGGGUAUUGAAGAUUCAUAUAGUUGACCCGAAUUAGCUUUAAAUGGAUCCCUCAUUGUUGAUCUUAACGUUGGGUUUCUGCCUUUGUUUCCUUAUUCUUGCCGUACAAUCAAGUCCUUCGCCUCCUCCUUCUCCGUCUCAGCAAUCUCGACCGCCGCUGCCAUCUGCUCCCUUAUCACCACCACCACCACCAUCACCACGGCCUCCUCCAACACCCCACCAAAGUCGCCGUCCUCCACCACCUCCAAAAAAGACUAUCUCCGACAGUAAAAACUCUAACCACGGUAAAAACCACCACCAUAAAUCUAACGGGAAAUUGCAUCCACCUAUAAAGCAAAAGAAGUUAAAUUGGGGGAAGAAAUUGGGGUUCAUGUUUGCAGGUGUUACUGCGAUAUUGCAAGUGUGUGUGCUGGCGUUCUUGAUAAUCAAGAGAAGGCAGCUGUUAAAGGCUGAUAGUAGUAGAUUUUGAAGGGACAUUUGUAUAUGGAUGUGUAUAUCAGCUCCCAUUUCUUUUAGUUAUAUGAUUCUCUUUUGGCGGCGGAGCAUGUUAAUUGCAGUUAGCCUUAUUGAUUCAGAUUUUUAACACGGCAUCAAUGGAGUAGAAGGAUUAAGGAUACAGCUGAAAUGUUGGUUUCUGCAUUUGCGUUGGUCGCUCCUGUAAAUUGCAUGCAUAACUCUUGAGGGUAACCUUGGCGUAACUGGUAAAGUUGCUGAACUGGUAAAGUUGCUGACAUGUUACGGUGGAAACAGCCUGUUGCAAAAAUGCAGGUCUCAAAUGAAAGGAUUAAAGAUGAUAUCUUGCCUUUUUGUCAAUUUUAAGGAACUGGCUUCGAUUUGUUUUGGAGAACAUAAUGUUGUCUGGUGAGAAAAGAAUGCUGUAGGGAAACGAGCAUAACUAUUGCUGGAGGCAUGACCUGUCAUCAUCAAAGCUGAAAUAUGAUUUCUAAUGUAUAGGUUAAACACCACAAAACUAUUUAAUUGUUGGUAUAAUCUAACUGUUGUACAUGAUACGAAAAUUUAAACACGGUCAAACAUGUAUCUCUAUCUUAAUGUGCUUUAAUGUGUUACUUAUAA